ensembl:snRNA U6 U6 spliceosomal RNA
GUACUCACUUCGGGAGCACACAUCCUGAAAUUGGAAUCAUACAGAGAAAAUCAGUAUGGCCCCUGCAUGAGGAUGACACAAACAUUCAUGAAGGCUUCCAUAGUUUU